rnacentral:rRNA from 1 species
UACGUAGGGUGCAGGCGUUAAUCGGAAUUACUGGGCGUAAAGCGUGCGCAGGCGGUCUUUUAAGUCAGAUGUGAAAUCCCCGGGCUUAACCUGGGAAUUGCAUUUGUGACUGCCCGGCUAGAGUUUGGCAGAGGGGGGUAGAAUUCCACGUGUAGCAGUGAAAUGCGUAGAUAUGUGGAGGAAUACCGAUGGCGAAGGCAGCCCCCUGGGUCAAGACUGACGCUCAUGCACGAAAGCGUGGGGAGCAAACAGG